rnacentral:rRNA from 1 species
GACGAACGCUGGCGGCGUGCUUAACACAUGCAAGUCGAACGGAAAGGCCCUGCUUGCAGGGUACUCGAGUGGCGAACGGGUGAGUAACACGUGGGUGAUCUGCCCUGCACUUCGGGAUAAGCCUGGGAAACUGGGUCUAGUACCGGAUAGGAGCCAUUUUUAGUGUGAUGGUUGGAAAGUUUUUUCGGUGUAGGAUGAGCUCGCGGCCUAUCAGCUUGUUGGUGGGGUAAUGGCCUACCAAGGCGGCGACGGGUAGCCGGCCUGAGAGGGUGGACGGCCACAUUGGGACUGAGAGACGGCCCAGACUCCUACGGGAGGCAGCAGUGGGGAAUAUUGCACAAUGGGCGCAAGCCUGAUGCAGCGACGCCGCGUGGGGGAUGACGGCCUUCGGGUUGUAAACUCCUUUCGCUAGGGACGAAGCUUUUUGUGACGGUACCUAGAUAAGAAGCACCGGCUAACUACGU